AACGAACGCUGGCGGCAGGCUUAACACAUGCAAGUCGAGCGAGACCUUCGGGUCUAGCGGCGGACGGGUGAGUAACGCGUGGGAACGUGCCCUUCUCUACGGAAUAGCCCCGGGAAACUGGGAGUAAUACCGUAUACGCCCUUUGGGGGAAAGAUUUAUCGGAGAAGGAUCGGCCCGCGUUGGAUUAGGUAGUUGGUGGGGUAAUGGCCCACCAAGCCGACGAUCCAUAGCUGGUUUGAGAGGAUGAUCAGCCACACUGGGACUGAGACACGGCCCAGACUCCUACGGGAGGCAGCAGUGGGGAAUCUGAGACAAUGGGGGCAACCCUGAUCUAGCCAUGCCGCGUGAGUGAUGAAGGCCUUAGGGUUGUAAAGCUCUUUCAGCUGGGAAGAUAAUGACGGUACCAGCAGAAGAAGCCCCGGCUAACUCCGU
rnacentral:rRNA from 1 species